rnacentral:rRNA from 1 species
UACGUAGGGGGCUAGCGUUGUCCGGAAUCAUUGGGCGUAAAGCGCGUGUAGGCGGUCCGGUAAGUCCGCUGUGAAAGUCGGGGGCUCAACCCUCGGAUGCCGGUGGAUACUGUCGGGCUUGAGUACGGAAGAGGCGAGUGGAAUUCCUGGUGUAGCGGUGAAAAUGCGCAGAUAUCAGGAGGAACACCAAUUGCGAAGGCAGCUCGCUGGGACGUUACUGACGCUGAGACGCGAAAGCGUGGGGAGCAAACAGG